UGGGGAAUAUUGGACAAUGGGGGGAACCCUGAUCCAGCCAUGCCGCGUGUGUGAAGAAUGCCUUAUGGUUGUAAAGCACUUUAAGCGAGGAGGAGGGUACUGGUAUUAAUACUACCAGGUACUGGACGUUACUCGCAGAAUAAGCAACGGCUAACUCUGUGCCAGCAGCCGCGGUAAUACAGAGGGUGCGAGCGUUAAUCGGAUUUACUGGGCGUAAAGCGUGCGUAGGCGGCUAAUUGAGUCGGAUGUGAAAUCCCCGAGCUUAACUUGGGAAUUGCAUUCGAUACUGGUUAGCUAGAGUGUGGGAGAGGAUGGUAGAAUUCCAGGUGUAGCGGUGAAAUGCGUAGAGAUCUGGAGGAAUACCGAUGGCGAAGGCAGCCAUCUGGCCUAACACUGACGCUGAGGUACGAAAGCAUGGGGAGCAAACAGG
rnacentral:rRNA from 1 species